rnacentral:rRNA from 1 species
AACGAACGCUGGCGGCGCGCCUAAUACAUGCAAGUCGAGCGAGAAGACGUAGCAAUACGUUUGUAAAGCGGCGAACGGGUGAGGAAUACAUGGGUAACCUACCCUCGAGUGGGGAAUAACUAGCCGAAAGGUUAGCUAAUACCGCGUACGCUCCUUGGACUUCGGUUCAGGGAGGAAAGCGAUACCGUGGGUAUCGCGCUCUUGGAUGGGCUCAUGUCCUAUCAGCUUGUUGGUGAGGUAACGGCUCACCAAGGCUUCGACGGGUAGCUGGUCUGAGAGGACGAUCAGCCACACUGGCACUGCGACACGGGCCAGACUCCUACGGGAGGCAGCAGUAAGGAAUAUUGCGCAAUGGGCGAAAGCCUGACGCAGCGACGCCGCGUGGGGGAUGAAGGUCUUCGGAUUGUAAACCCCUUUCGGAGGGAAGAUGGAACGAGCAAUCGUUCGGACGGUACCUCCGG